UAUACAGCGCUAAUUUGACUAGCUUGCAAGCGCUUUAUAAAUUUUGCUAAACCAGAUUUA
rnacentral:ncRNA from 1 species